rnacentral:rRNA from 1 species
GACGAACGCUGGCGGCGUGCCUAAUACAUGCAAGUCGAGCGGACGGAUGGGAGCUUGCUCCCAGACCGUCAGCGGCGGACGGGUGAGUAACACGUGGGCAACCUUCCUGUAAGACUGGGAUAACUCCGGGAAACCGGGGCUAAUACCGGAUAACUCUUUCCCUCACAUGAGGGAAAGCUGAAAGAUGGCAUCUCGCUAUCACUUACAGAUGGGCCCGCGGCGCAUUAGCUAGUUGGUGAGGUAACGGCUCACCAAGGCAACGAUGCGUAGCCGACCUGAGAGGGUGAUCGGCCACACUGGGACUGAGACACGGCCCAGACUCCUACGGGAGGCAGCAGUAGGGAAUCUUCCGCAAUGGACGAAAGUCUGACGGAGCAACGCCGCGUGAGUGAUGAAGGUUUUCGGAUCGUAAAACUCUGUUGUCAGGGAAGAACAAGUACCGGAGUAACUGCCGGUACCUUGACGGUACCUGACCAGAAAGCCACGGCUAACUACGUG